rnacentral:rRNA from 1 species
GACGAACGCUGGCGGCGUGCCUAACACAUGCAAGUCGAGCGGAGUCGAUCGACGGAAGCCUUCGGGCGGAAGAUGGUUGACUUAGCGGCGGAUGGGUGAGUAACGCGUGGGCAACCUGCCUCGAAGACCGGGAUAACAGCCCGAAAGGGCUGCUAAUACCGGAUGUGGUCAAGGAUCCGCAUGGAUUUUUGAUUAAAGGGGAAACCCGUUUCGAGAUGGGCCCGCGUCCUAUCAGCUAGUUGGUGAGGUAAAAGCUCACCAAGGCGACGACGGGUAGCCGGCCUGAGAGGGUGACCGGCCACACUGGAACUGAGACACGGUCCAGACUCCUACGGGGGGCAGCAGUGGGGAAUCUUCCACAAUGGGCGAAAGCCUGAUGGAGCGACGCCGCGUGAGCGAAGAAGGCCUCGGUUGUAAAGCUCUGUCUGGAGGGACGAAGGAAGUGACGGUACCUCCGGAGGAAGCCACGGCUAACUACGUG